UCGACGAGUCGAGUUGUUUGGGAAUGCAGCUCAAAAUGGGUGGUAAAUUUCAUCUAAAGCUAAAUACUGGCUGGAGACCGAUAGCGCACAAGUAGAGUGAUCGAAAGAUGAAAAGCACUUUGGAAAGAGAGUCAAAAAGUACGUGAAAUUGUUGAAAGGGAAGCGCUUGCAACCAGACCUGUCCGUAGGUGAUCAGCCGCCGUUCUCGGUGGUGCACUCGCCUGCGAUCAGGCCAGCAUCGGUUCGGGCGGUCGGAUAAAGGCCCUGGGAAUGUAGCUCCUCUCGGGGAGUCUUAUAGCCCUCGGUGCAAUGCGGCCAGCCCGGACCGAGGACCGCGCUUCGGCUAGGAUGCUGGCGUAAUGGUUGUAAGCGACCCGUCUUGAAACACGGACCAAGGAGUCUAACAUCUAUGCGAGUGUUUGGGUGUUAAACCCAUACGCGGAAUGAAAGUGAACGGAGGUGAGAACCCUUUAGGGCGCAUCAUCGACCGAUCCAGAUGUCUUCGGAUGGAUUUGAGUAUGAGCAUAGCUGUUGGGACCCGAAAAGAUGGUGAACUAUGCCUGAAUAGGGUGAAGCCAGAGGAAACUCUGGUGGAGGCUCGCAGCGGUUCUGACGUGCAAAUCGAUCGUCAAAUUUGGGUAUAGGGGCGAAAGACUA
rnacentral:rRNA from 1 species